CCCCUCCCGCUCGUCUGUUCCGCUGGCGGCCCAGCGUGCUGGCUGUACAGCGUGCUGGCUGUACGCGUCACUUCCGGCUGUGUCGGCGCGCGAAAAAAGGUCCUGGGUUGGAAUGUUUGUACUGGUCUGUGGCGGUGGUUGUCGGCUGUCCUGCCAGGAAAACUCGGCACUGACUAUCCCACUGCUGAUGCUGUAAAAGAGGUCCUUCUGCUAUGACGCAACUGUGGUUCCUCUGGUUCUGGGGACACUUAGGCCUCGCGUGCCGAUUUUCAUAGUUCCCUGUGGCCCCGAGCCGAGGGAGCCGCGGUGUGGAACGGAGGGAACCGGUGAUCUCAGUGCUGAAGAAAACAGGGAGAACCAAAGAGAAGUGAAGGAAUGUGUCCAAGGGCUCCCAAGUUGGCGGUGGAAUUAGAAUUGAAGCCUCAGCUCCAAAGCCUGUGUUCUGAACUACCCGGUUGCAGUUCACAAAAUACACUUUGGCAGUACUUUCAUAACGAAAACAAAUGAUUACAACCAGUUUACAAAUGCUUUGCUUUACUGGAGGAUCGACAUGUUUGACUAAUUUUCAAAAAUAAAUCUCAGAAGCAGCAUUUUCUUGUGUUGAUAACUUUAUUACUAAUUUGUGGCACUCUGCAUUCUGUUGGAGUUAAGCCGUGUAUCAUUCCAUUUUUUA
rnacentral:lncRNA from 1 species